rnacentral:rRNA from 1 species
UACGUAGGGUGCAAGCGUUAAUCGGAAUUACUGGGCGUAAAGCGUGCGCAGGCGGCUUUGCAAGACAGAUGUGAAAUCCCCGGGCUCAACCUGGGAGCUGCAUUUGUGACUGCAUGGCUAGAGUGCGGCAGAGGGGGAUGGAAUUCCGCGUGUAGCAGUGAAAUGCGUAGAUAUGCGGAGGAACACCGAUGGCGAAGGCAAUCCCCUGGGCCUGCACUGACGCUCAUGCACGAAAGCGUGGGGAGCAAACAGG